rnacentral:rRNA from 1 species
CAUGGAUGGACCUGCGGUGCAUUAGCUAGUUGGUGAGGUAACGGCCCACCAAGGCGACGAUGCAUAGCCGGCCUGAGAGGGCGGACGGCCACAUUGGGACUGAGACACGGCCCAAACUCCUACGGGAGGCAGCAUG